CGGUGGUGGAUUAGUGGCGAACGGGUGAGUAACACGUGGGCAAUCUGCCCUGCACUUCGGGACAAGCCCUGGAAACGGGGUCUAAUACCGGAUAUGACCACCGGCCGCAUGGUCUGGUGGUGGAAAGCUCCGGCGGUGCAGGAUGAGCCCGCGGCCUAUCAGCUUGUUGGUGGGGUGAUGGCCUACCAAGGCGACGACGGGUAGCCGGCCUGAGAGGGCGACCGGCCACACUGGGACUGAGACACGGCCCAGACUCCUACGGGAGGCAGCAGUGGGGAAUAUUGCACAAUGGGCGCAAGCCUGAUGCAGCGACGCCGCGUGAGGGAUGACGGCCUUCGGGUUGUAAACCUCUUUCAGCAGGGAAGAAGCGCAAGUGACGGUACCUGCAGAAGAAGCACCGGCUAACUACGUGCCAGCAGCCGCGGUAAUACGUAGGGUGCGAGCGUUGUCCGGAAUUAUUGGGCGUAAAGAGCUCGUAGGCGGCUUGUCGCGUCGGAUGUGAAAGCCCGGGGCUUAACCCCGGGUCUGCAUUCGAUACGGGCAGGCUGGAGUUCGGCAGGGGAGAUUGGAAUUCCUGGUGUAGCGGUGAAAUGCGCAGAUAUCAGGAGGAACACCGGUGGCGAAGGCGGAUCUCUGGGCCGAUACUGACGCUGAGACGAAACUG
rnacentral:rRNA from 1 species